GAUGAACGCUGGCGGCGUGCCUAAUACAUGCAAGUCGAGCGGACAGACGAGGCGCUUGCUCCUCUCACGUUAGCGGCGCACGGGUGAGUAACGCGUGGAUAACCUACCUAUCAUACUGAUAUAACUUCGGAAAACCGGCUCUAAUCCCGGAUAAUAUAUUGCACCACAGUGGUCAUUAGUGAAAGACGGUGUUGGUGUCACUUAUAGCUGCAUCUCCGCCGCUUUAGCUAGUUGUUAAGGUAACGGCUUACCAAGGCAACGAUGCGUAGACGAACGCAGAGGGGGAUAGGCGACAUUGGAACUGAGACACGGACCAGACUCCUACGGGAGGCAGCAGUAGGGAAUGUGACGCAAUGGGCGGAAGCUUGACGGAGCAACGCCGAGUGAGUGAUGAAGGUCUUCGGAUCGUAAAGCCCUGUUAUGAGGGAAGAACAAAUGUGUAAGGAACUAUGCACGGAUUGACGGUACUGAAUCAGAAAGCAACGGCUAACUACGUG
rnacentral:rRNA from 1 species